rnacentral:rRNA from 1 species
CCCUUAGAUGUUCUGGGCUGCACGCGCGCUACACUGAUACUUUCAGCGAGUCCACCACCUUGCCUGAGAGGGUGGGGUAACCUCUGGAAAGUGUAUCGUGAUGGGGAUCGAUUAUUGUAAUUAUUAAUCUUCAACGAGGAAUUCCUAGUAAGCAUGUGUCAUCAGCCCGUGCUGAUUACGUCCCUGCCCUUUGUACACACCGCCCGUCGCUCCUACCGAUUGGGUGAGCCGAUGAAACUCUCGGAUGUAGGCUAUUCAUAGCCCGCAGAAGAGAUUUGAAUCGUAGCGCUUAGAGGAAGGAGAAGUCGUAACA